AUUUUCUUAUUUCGCUAAAGUUUUCCUCUGACUUUAUGACCUUCUCCCUCCCAAUUUCAGAAGUUUAAGAGUUGGUUGGUGGUCUCACAGACUUUGGUGCUAGAUUAAUGGAUUUUGGAUUGGCAAGGUUGAUGACGUCAGUUUUCUAUCAUUAGCUAUCCCGUUAGCACUUAUGGUUUGAUAUGCAACAACGGUCAUAUGCGCAUGUCAGGGUUGCUUCCUAAUACAAAGCACGGGACGUCUAAAAUGGUGAUCAAGUUAGUACAGAAGCAACAACUUCUUCAUCAAUAAUGAAAAUGCAACCAACUAACACCGACGUGAUAGCUGGAUUUACUGGCGGAACAAAGAUGUCAACCAUGAUGCAUGCAGCGCUAACAACAGAAUAUUCAAUUGAUAGCAAGGAUGUUAUCGACGCACUAUGGUACCUUCAGUUUCACUUGCCUUGUGAUGAUCAAUUUACAACAUACAACUUAUGCUAAGUUGGGACCUCAAGAGUUAGUUAUAUUAGAAAGAGAGUUGAGUGUUUUUGUCUGCCAUUUAAGACUCCAGUGUAGAUCUUGGCCAAACUAUGACUUUAAUUUGGCCAAGGUUUUGGAACACUAAACUGUUCUAUAUAAUAGAUAAGGCAAGAGACAAUUUAUGACCUCCCCAAUUUUAGAAA